rnacentral:misc_RNA from 1 species
AACCUAGCACACCUGCGGUGUGUACCUGCGGAGGGAUCAUUACAUGAUUUAACAGGGAGUGGAGGCUUCGGCCAAAGCUCUGUCUGAACCCAUGUCUUUUGCGUACUUCUUGUUUCCUCGGUGGGCUUGCCCACCGAUAGGACAACCUUAAACUCUUUGCAAUUGCAAUCAGCGUCUGAAAAACUAUAAUAGUUACAACUUUUAGCAACGGAUCU